UACGUAGGGUGCAAGCGUUGUCCGGAAUUAUUGGGCGUAAAGAGCUCGUAGGCGGUCUGUCGCGUCGGCUGUGAAAACCCGGAGCUCAACUCCGGGCCUGCAGUCGAUACGGGCAGACUGGAGUUCGGCAGGGGAGACUGGAAUUCCUGGUGUAGCGGUGAAAUGCGCAGAUAUCAGGAGGAACACCGGUGGCGAAGGCGGGUCUCUGGGCCGUUACUGACGCUGAGGAGCGAAAGCGUGGGGAGCAAACAGG
rnacentral:rRNA from 1 species